AUGGAUGGAGUGAUGACAAAUGAAUGCACUGAUGUAUGUGUGUGUGUGGGUGUAGCUGUGGGAUGUAAAGGUGUGUGUGUGUGUGUGGGUGUAGCUGUGGGAUGUAAAGGUGUGUGUGUGUGUGGGGGGGGUAGGAAAGCGGGCUGGGCAGAGGAGAAUUUUGAUUGGACUUGUGUUGUGGUGGUUGCCCAGUGCUUUCUCAUAAGUCAGGGAAUUCAAAACAAAAAAAAACAUUUGUCACCUGAUUGCGUUUUCUUUUUAUUAAUAAAUGACAAAAACACGUUUUUCUUUGUAUAUUACAAAAACAAACUGAGCUAUUUUUUUUCUAAACAAGCCUACAAUACAGUAGCGUUUUGGAAUCUGCUGUAUCUACCUGAUGAUUAUUUUGAAUAUGAAUGCAUCCCCAGUCCCAGGCUGUGCCCCAAAUGGCACCCUAUUUACUGUACUACAUUUGACCAGGGCUCUGGUUAAAAGUAGUGCACUUCUAUAAGGGAAUAGUGUGCCAUUUGGGAGAUAGUCCCAGUGUUUUCCCUCCGCAUGUUAGCUGUCGUCUGCUACUUCUUCUCCUCGGCCGCGUCUCCAUACUCUAAAAACAGCUUCCUCUCCUCGUUUCCUUGUAUACUCGUUUCCUUUCCUUUAUCCUCCAUUUGCACUGACCUGAAAGGUGAAAGCGAACUCACAAUAGACAUCAGCCAUUUUGAUAUUGCUUUAAUUUGUCCGGUCUUGCCAGAUCAGUACAGAUUAAGUAAAGGAGUUGAGGAAAGGAGACGAGAAGAGGAAGCAACUAGAUAAUUGAGUUCUCUGUCCUCUUAACAUGUGAAACAGAGUUGCUACUGUCGCUGUGUUGAAUAAAAACAUGAUUGUCUUAUUUAAUUUAAUAUUUUUAUUUAUUUUUGGGGCUUGCUUUAAAAAAAAGUAUUGCUAACUGCUGUAAGGAAAAAAAUAAAUUACUUCCAUGUCCUGCGUUGUUUGUUAUGAUUUGACGAGGCAGGAGUGAGCGUGUUGUAUAGGUAGAAUGAAUGAUUUGACGAGGCAGGAGUGAGCGUGUUGUAUAGGUAGAAUGAAUGAUUUGACGAGGCAGGAGUGAGAGUGUUGUGUAGGUAGAAUGAAUGAUUUGAUGAGGCAGGAGUGAGCGUGAUGUAUAGGUAGAAUGCAUGAUUUGACGAGGCAGGAGUGAGCGUGAUGUAGAAUGAAUGAUUUGACGAGGCAGGAGUGAGCGUGAUGUAGAAUGAAUGAUUUGACGAGGCAGGAGUGAACGUGUUGUGUAGGUAGAAUGAAUGAUUUGACGAGGCAGGAGUGUGAGUGAUGUAUAGGUAGAAUGAAUGAUUUGACGAGGCAGGAGUGAGCGUGUUGUAUAGGUAGAAUGAAUGAUUUGACGAGGCAGGAGUGAGCGUGAUGUAGAGGUAGAAUGAAUGAUUUGAGGAGGCAGGAGUGAGCGUGUUGUAUAGGUAGAAUGAAUGAUUUGACGAGGCAGGAGUGAGCGUGAUGUAUAGGUAGAAUGAAUGAUUUGAGGAGGCAGGAGUGAGCGUGAUGUAUAGGUAGAAUGAAUGAUUUGACGAGGCAGGAGUGAGCGUGUUGUAUAGGUAGAAUGCAUGAUUUGACGAGGCAGGAGUGAGCGUGAUGUAGAAUGAAUGAUUUGACGAGGCAGGAGUGAGCGUGUUGUAGAAUGAAUGAUUUGACGAGGCAGGAGUGUGAGUGAUGUAAAGGUAGUUAAAGGCCGGUGUUAUGAUACUGAAGGUUUGUUUACGCUAGUGGCUAGAUGGCACCGGGGACAACAGUUAUUGAAAACUGUUGCAUUUUAGCCUAACCCUUUUUCUAACCUUAACCUCAUUCUCCUAACCUGUUAUGUAAACAAACCAUUAGUAUCGCACUUUGUCGGCUACGUACAAUUUUUAAAGGUCAUUUCCAAUUGAGUCGACAUACAGUAUGCAGCGCGGUCGUAUUGAAUCCGGACUAAAUUAGACGGACGUGAAAAUAAUUGCACACAAUGAAUCAUUGGCACCUGGCGGUUUCUGUGCCUGGUAACUUAAACCCACAGUAGCUAAUUUGUCUCACUUUGACCUGCUGACCAGCAGAGGGCAUGAUCUUGAGACUUAACCAGAGUUUAACCUGCAACCAUGCUCUGGAGUUUAGAUGGGGAAGCUCCUGAGCCUUGACUGGGGUUCGAACCUCCAACCAUGCUCCAGAGAGCCUUGACUGGGGUUAGCACCUCCAACCAUGAUCCUGAUCCUUGACUGGGGUUAGAACCUCCAACCAUGCUCCAGAACCUUGACUGGGUUUAGAACCUCCAACCAUGCUCCAGAACCUUGACUGGGGUUAGAACCUCCAACCAUGCUCCAGAGAGCCUUGACUGGGGUUAGAACCUCCAACCAUGCUCCAGAACCUUGACUGGGGUUAGAACCUCCAACCAUGCUCCAGAGAGCCUUGACUGGGGUUAGAACCUCCAACCAUGCUGCAGAGCCUUGACUGGGGUUAGAACCUCCAACCAUGCUCCAGAACCUUGACUGGGUUUAGAACCUCCAACCAUGCUCCAGAGAGCCUUGACUGGGGUUAGAACCUCCAACCAUGCUCCAGAGAGCCUUGACUGGGGUUAUAACCUCCAACCAUGAUCCAGAGCCUUGACUGGGGUUAGAACCUCCAAUUGUGCUCCAGAGCCUUGCUCAAAUUUCAAAGGGUUUAGGUUAUGUUAGGCAUUAACUCAGAAUUGUUUAUGUUAGGGAAAUAUGUUCAGGCAAUAACUCCGAAUGGUAAGGGUUAAGGAUCAGUUUAAAACAUAAAUAUCAAAAACAACUUUAUAUUGCUGGAUUCAAACUUGCAACCUUUGGAAUCAGAGGCAGAUGAAAACUCCUUGAAGGUAACAGAACAGUGCUCACUGUUGCCCCUAGUGGUGGGUUUCCAUGUCAUCUCCCGACGUCCUCAGACAUGGAUGGACAUGGAAUACGGACUUGUAUCACAGUUGACCUGGCUGUGUAGUGACACUGACAGGGAUGGAAGUGUUGAGUUUCCUCUACUGAACGACUUCUGUACUCAGGAGAAAAAGCUCUGGAAAAAGCUCAGUAUUUUAAUAGGCUAAAAU
rnacentral:lncRNA from 8 species